GACGUAGGGCGCGGGCGUUGUCCGGAUUUAUUGGGCGUAAAGAGCUCGUAGGCGGCUUGUCGCGUCGUCCGUGAAAACCCACGGCUUAACUGUGGGCUUGCGGUCGAUACGGGCAGGCUGGAGUUCGGUAGGGGAGACUGGAAUUCCUGGUGUAGCGGUGAAAUGCGCAGAUAUCAGGAGGAACACCGAUGGCGAAGGCAGGUCUCUGGGCCACUACUGACGCUGAGAAGCGAAAGCAUGGGGAGCGAACAGG
rnacentral:rRNA from 1 species